GUGAACACAAAGGUCGAUGACGAAAGGUCACGUGACAGCGACCACCGACCAGCGACCAGACCCCCGCCUUCCGCCACUCGUCUAUAUGUAUCGGUGCUCCGAGAGUUCACAAAACAGAACCAGAUUACUUCCGUCGCGACCACGUCGAAAAGGGCUAUGAUAUGGAAAAACGUAGUGGCAGUGGAGGAAGCCAAAUCUUUGAAAAUUUGGGCACUAUUUUGCGAAAAUGCAUUUUUUCGGUUCUUUCUGUUGGUCCCAUCCCUAACCACAUUGCCUUUAUCAUGGAUGGGAACCGCAGAUUUGCCAAGAAGCAGAAUUUGAUAGAAGGGGCUGGUCAUAAGGUUGGGUACUUAGCUCUUAUGUCCAUGCUCAGGUACUCAUAUGAGUUGGGCGUGAAAUAUGUAACAAUUUAUGCCUUCAGCAUUGAAAAUUUUAAACGACGUCCUGAAGAAGUUCAAUCUGUGAUGGAUCUGAUGCAAGAAAAGAUUGAGCAGUUAAUUAAUGAAGAGAGCAUUUUGAACCACUUUGGAGUUAGGGUUUAUUUUAUAGGGAAUCUGAAACUCUUGAGUGCACCAGUCAGGUUGGCAGCAGAGCGGGCUAUGCUGGUCACUGCCUGUAACUCCAAGGCGGUGCUUUCAAUUUGUGUUGCCUAUACUUCCACCAAUGAGAUUAUGCAUGCUGUUGAAGAAUCUUGUGUAAAAAAAUGGGAUGAGAUAAGAGAACUAAAUGCAAGUGGAGUUGAUUGUGGUUUAACUAAACUUGAAGGAUAUGAAAAGGGUGAAGCACAGGACCUUAUAAAUUUAACAGAUAUUGAGAAGCAUUUGUAUAUGGCAGUUGCACCUGAUCCUGAUAUAUUAAUUCGCACUUCUGGUGAAACCCGCUUGAGCAAUUUUCUACUAUGGCAGAGUCAGUACUGUUAUUUGUACUCUCCAUCUGUGCUUUGGCCAGAGAUUGGUUUUUGGCAUUUGCUUUGGGCAGUUUUGAACUUUCAGCGCAAUCACUUUUAUUUGGAGAAAAAAAAGAAACAACUAUAAGUCUUGCAAAUGGAUGGCAGGGCAGUUUUCACCUCUGGACUCUAAUAUGACUGUAUUGGUUCAUUGGCUCUCUCUUUGUUCUUGACUUAUUCUCUGUGACAAAAGCUGAUUGCAACAUGGAAGGACUGUUCCUAGUGCUGCUACACUGGAUUCUUUGGCUGAGAAUGCAUCAAGGGGCUACAUCAUAAGGAUAUUUUGUCCAUUGCAGUAGCCAAGUGUUUGUUGGGUGAUACUGUUGCAGAUCAAGAUAUGAUAAGUGGAGACUUUAAAUUAUUUUAAUUGUUGAUACUGUUAUUCCACUUUAAGCAAUCAAUGGAGGUCAACAGAGAGUUCCACAUUAUGUCAAAAGAAGCUAAUUCAAUUUGUACUAGAAGAAUGUGCAUGGCUCCCUCAGUUUUUAAAGUGGCACAAGAACAAUCAUAUGCUGAUUCUAUGGAAGGAAUUGCUUCUCAUGUAAUUUCUUGCUCUGGCACUUUGAUUGGGCUUGUGGUAAAUUGGUCAAUCACUGGAUGGAAGAUUGGUCUUGAUUUUCAGGCUUAAGUUAUGUAUAUUAGUGAGGUAUGGAACUUUUGAGCUUACCUCAUAUAUAAAAUCUGUUGCACAUAAGUCAUUUUCGAUUUAUCAGAUGUUUUCAUUCUCCCUUCUUCAUGGGUUUUGUUUUGUUUUUGUUGAUGAUAUAUGUAGAUAAAAGAGCCAAGGAUUAUCUUCUUCCAAGAUCUAUAUAAAAAUCAGAAUGGACAUGGUUGGAAAGGCUUUCCUCGUUGAUUUUUUUUUUUUCAUUUUUUUUGUUUAUUUAUUUUAUCAUCAUUGUGGUGUUCUGGGGCAGGGAUAGGGGAUGCUUAGAAGCUGUAUCUGGUUGGUUGGUUGUAAAAUAUGCUAAAUGUACAUUUAUUUUCCCUUAUUAUAUUUCAGUGGCAUGAAUUUAUUUCUGGUCAGCCAUUUUUAUGAUAAAUGUGGAAGACUUAUCA